UGAGUAUAUUUUACUCCAUGCAUUUUUAUGUAGCUUAAUAAACAAAAAAAAAAAAAAAAAAAAAAAAAGAGAAUUAGAAAGUGACAUAACUAAUAGUUAAUAAAUAAAGAGAUUCGACUUUUAUAAAUAAAAAUAUGAAUUAAUAUUUAAUAUUUGGUUACAUUUUAAUACCAAAGUUAGAAGUGGGCAGGCAUAUACAUAAGAGGCGGCAGUUGGCAUGUAAGAAGAAGACUCUUCCAUAGAUUCUGCAGUUUACGUCGAAAGUUAGGAACUGUCUCCAUUUCAAAGCCACGAGGACAGUAGUCUCUCCAAAAUAAAAACACCUAAACCCAACUGGUAAAAAACCAAUAUAUAAGAAAAACGAAUAAAGCGCCAAUCUCUUUCACUUUGGCAAAUUACUGUUCUCUCUUUCUUUUUAAAUUACAUGAAAUUUACUCCUCUUCUUGGCCUUUAUCAGUUUCAGUUAUCUGGGUUUCUCCGCUCCUUCAAUAUUCAGCAAAAAAACGCCUUCCUUUUUGUACUUUUUCUUUGGCUCUCGUCGAGAAUUUUAUAUUCUUGAUUUGCCCUUGAUAAUUUCAUUGACCAUCUAGAUAUAUUGCUAAUCUUAAUUCCUUUCACUAUAAUUUGAUUCUUGCAUGCCUUUUGCCUGCCAAAUAGUUUCAAUUUGAUCGUUCUUUGUUGAUUUUAUGCUUCUGGUAUAAUAAUGGAUUUCAAAGUUGAAGUUCAGUAUUGGACUAAUCAGAUUGGUGAUCUUGGUCUUCGACUUCUGUGGCAUUUUGUACAUCUUCUUGUCAGCUUAUGGUACCUUGGAGCUGGAAUAGCCCAAGUGACUGAAAGCUAUCUAAUCUCUAAUGGACUACUAAAUCGCUACAAAACCCUUGAUGUUGGUAAGCUCCGUUACCUUGCCAUCGUGGUAGAAAGUGAAGAUGCUUACCAAAUUUCUGAAGUUCUUCAGCUUUUGCAAUGGUUGGAGGCUAUUGGUGUGAAGCAUCUAUGCCUCUAUGAUUCAGAAGGAGUUCUCAAGAAGUCCAAGAAAUUCAUUAUAGAAAGGUUGCCUAAUGCAAUACAAUUAGAGGAAGCAGUUGAAAAAGAUUUGCCAUUGGACCACAAACAUAUGACUCUGGAAUUUGCCUCUGUCUCUGAUGGAAAGGAAGCAAUAGCCAAGGCUGCUAACCUGCUCUUUAUGAAUUAUAUGAAGUCAGCUAAAACCAAUAUAGGACAGGAAGAAGUCAUUACAGAGGCUCACAUGGAUGAGGCAUUAAGAACUUUAGGUUAUAAAGGAACAGAUCCUGACCUGCUAUUAGUUUAUGGACCUGUAAGAUGCCACCUAGGAUUCCCAGCAUGGAGAAUUCGGUAUACCGAGAUAGUCUGUUGAUCUGUUGGAAGAUAGUACAGAGUGCUAAAUGUGGUCUUCAUAUGUUGAUGUCCCUCGUUUGCUAUUUGUGGACAUUGCAUAUGGGGCCACUGAAAUCCAUGAGAUAUGGUUCCCUAAUAAAAGCCAUUUACAAGUUCACAACGGUGUGCCAAAAGUAUGGUAAAUGAGUCUGGCUAACUUUCGGGAGAUUAUUGUAUUGGAUGAUUGGUCCAGAGGGGAAAGGUCCUUAGGAUAGAUUUCUAUCUGUUGAUUACAAUUAUAUAAGUAAGCAUGCUUAUUCAAACUCAUACACUAUAAUCACUUCAAUGAAGCAGGUUAUAUUAUGCAUAAUAUUCAGCUGAAUUAAAUAUAAUCAAGCCUCUGUUAUCACCUAUUGCUAUA